rnacentral:rRNA from 1 species
AACGAAGUGAAUUGAAAUAUCUUAGUAACUUUAGGAAAAGAAAUCAAACGAGAUUGUUAUUUGGUGCAAACUAAAUAACAAGAGCCUAUUAACAAAACUUGUUAAAGUAAAAUGGAUUAAAAUCUGUUUGAAUAUAGGGGAACCUUCCUCUAAGGCUAAAUAUGAUAUAUAAGCGAUAGUGAAAAGUACCGUGAGGUAAAAUUUGAAAUAGUAGUUUUAUAAGCAGCUCGAGUGAAAAUUUAAAUAAGUAAUAAGAGUGUACCUUUUGCAUAAUGGGUCAGCAAGUUAAUUUUAGAUGCAAGCAAUGAUUUCGUGCGCUUUGCGCAUGGAACUAGCUUAGAUAAACCAAUUAUGAGAAAAUGAAUAAGUAUCUAGAAUUAGACCCGAAGGCUAGUGAUCUUACCAUGGUCAGGAUUAUAAAAGUCCGAACGGGUUAUCGUUGUAUAGAUAUCCGAAGAAUUGUGGUAAGUUAGUGAAAGACAAAACUGACUAGUAUAGCUGGUUUUCCGCGAAACCUAUAUGAGUAGGUAAUUUAACUAACAUCUUAGCAGGUACAGAACUGUGAUCUCGGACAAUAUCUUUUGAUUUUGUCAACAUCGGGGGGUUGUAGUGACUUUACCGGAGAGUAUUUGCACUCGGAAUGGCAAAGAUGAAUGUUGAAUAAUCGGACAUAGUGCGAUAAGGUUGUAUGUCUAAAGGGAAACAGCCCAGAACAAGAGUUAAGGUUCCAAAAUUAUUGUUGAGUGAAAUUAAGGAUGUUUUUUUUAAAAACAAUCAGGAAAUAGGCUUAGAAGCGGCCAUUUUUUGAAGACCUCGUAACAGAGCACUGAUUAAUUAAAUUUAGAAAAAAACACCGAAAAUUUAACGGAUCUAAACAAUAUACCGAAACCUUGUACACAUAUUUAUAAUAUUAAUAUUGUAUAUGUGGGGUAGCGGAACAUUGGAUAAAUAUUAAUUAUUAUUUCUUCUAAGAAGUAAUAAGUAUGGAUUAUUAUUAAAAAUAUUUAUUUAUUAAAGAUAUUUAUGUAAUAUUAUUAUACUUAAAAGGUAUAAUGUUUAGAUGAAUAUAUAGAUAGAUUAUAUCUGUCUUUAUUAUUAAUAUAAUCCAUCGAUAUAAUCCAAGAGAGAAUGCUGACAUGAGUAACGAAAAAGGAAUAUCCUCGCCUUAAGCUUAUGGUAUUAUAUUUAAUUUUCGGUAUCUAAAAGUAUUAAUCAAAAGGUAAUUUUGAUGAUAUUUAUAUAUAAAUACUUAAAAAUAAAAAACAAAACCUUUAACAAGUAAUAAAGGUUCUGGAAAAAUUUUUAUUUUUAUUAAGUGAAGUAUAAUGCAAUAUAGGUAUAUUAUAAUUUAUAUAAUUUUCUUGUUACAAGUUUUCAAGAUUGUAUAGAUUUUAUCUAUAUUAAAUAUAUUUUCUUUUUUAUACUAUUGUAUAAGUAAGGUUUAUAUAUACCGUACCUAGAUACUAUCACAAGUAAGCAAGUAGAGAAUACAAAGGCGUUUGAGUGAACAAUCAUUAAGGAACUCGGCAAAUUGACUACCGUAACUUCGGGAUAAGGAGGGCCAUUAUGAUUAGUUUAACAUAUCUUAUGAUAUGAUUUAAUUAAACUAAUCAUAAGAGGAAACAUGAAAUAAUGUUGUACGACUGUUUAAUAAAAACACAGCACUCUGCAAAGAUAAAAUAUCAAAGUAUUGAGUGUGAUGUCUGCCCAAUGUCGGCUGGGUAACGGAUUUACCUUGGUUUUUAACUGAGGUUUUGAAGGAUACCCCGAUUAAUGGCGGCCUUACCUAUGAGGGUCCUAAGGUAGCGAAAUACCUUGGCCGUUAAAUGCGGUCCUGCAUGAAUGACUUAACGAUACAACAGCUGUCUCGAUGAUUGUCUCAGUGAAAUUGGAAUAGCAGUGCAGAUACUGUUUACCUCUAGAUAGACGAGAAGACCCUAUGCAGCUUUACUGUUACUAAUUGCAAGAGUGGAAAUUUAGGAUGAUUUCGAGUGUAUAAGGUAGUUGUUUGAUAACAAUGAAACACCUUUAUUCGUUUCCUACUAUAUGCUCUUGAGGAUUGGGAGGCAGUUUAUGCGGGGCACAGAUCCCACAAAAAGUACCUGGGUAUAUCCAAAGUUCAUUUUGUAAAUUUGUAAAUUUCUUUACAAAUAUUUUAAUUUGUUAUAAUUAUAUUCAUAAUUAUACAGUUAUUGUUAGAUUAAGUUCAAUAUUUAUUUUUUAUUUAAGUAAGAUUUUAACUAUAUGGUGAAUAGAUGUAUUUUAAACUUUACCCGGGGAGGGAGUGAUCCAACUCCGGGAUAUUUAAAAGUUUUUUCUCAUAUUAAUAUUGUAUUUUAUCUUUAUUGAUAUGAUAAUUAAUUAUACUUUAAAAGUUUAAUGGCUAAAUCUUGCUUUACUGUUUGACCUACAAGUCUAUCAGUCGCGUAAGCGGGGCAUAUGAUCACAAGAUGCAUAAAGGAAAGGUCUUGGAUUAUAGAAAAAGUUACGCUAGGGAUAACAGGCUAAUUUGCGCAAGAGAGUACAAAUUGAGUGCGCGGUUUGGCACCUCGAUGUCGGCUUAGCUCAUCCACAUGAAUGCAAAAAUCAUGAAGGGUUCGACUGUUCGUCGAUUAAAGAGCUACAUGAGCUGGGUUUAAUACGUCGUGAGACAGUAUGGUUUCUAUCUUCUAGAGGGAAUUAAAGUAGAAUAAAGAUAGCCCCUUCGUACGAAAGGAGUUGGGUAUAUUGACCUAUGGUUUACCUGUUGUUUAUGUUAUAUAUUAUUAUACAUAAUAUAUCAUUUACUUAUACUUAAGUAAAUUGUUCACAUAGGCAUGGCAGGAAGGCUACGUCAGUUAAAGAUAAGUGCUGAAAGCAUUUAAGCGCGAAGCUUACUUUAGGAUACUUUUAAACGUAGUAGAACACUACGA